GUGAGGCACUGUGGGCACGGCUUGGCCCUGAGGCUUCCAAGGUGCUGCCUGACCCUGACCUCCC
rnacentral:miRNA from 1 species